rnacentral:rRNA from 1 species
CGUGACUAUUGUACCUUGUUGCUUCGGCGGGCCCGCCAGCGUUGCUGGCCGCCGGGGGGCGACUCGCCCCCGGGCCCGUGCCCGCCGGAGACCCCAACAUGAACCCUGUUCUGAAAGCUUGCAGUCUGAGUGUGAUUCUUUGCAAUCAGUUAAAACUUUCAACAAUGGAUCUCUUGGUUCCGGCAUCGAUGAAGAACGCAGCGAAAUGCGAUAACUAAUGUGAAUUGCAGAAUUCAGUGAAUCAUCGAGUCUUUGAACGCACAUUGCGCCCCCUGGUAUUCCGGGGGGCAUGCCUGUCCGAGCGUCAUUGCUGCCCUCAAGCCCGGCUUGUGUGUUGGGCCCUCGUCCCCCGGCUCCCGGGAGACGGGCCCGAAAGGCAGCGGCGGCACCGCGUCCGGUCCUCGAGCGUAUGGGGCUUCGUCUUCCGCUCCGUAGGCCCGGCCGGCGCCCGCCGACGCAUUUGUUUGCAACUUGUUUUUUUCCAGGUUGACCUCGGAUCAGGUAGGGAUACCCGCUGAA